GUGAGUAAUUAUGCCUUUUUGACAUAUUUUCUUAUUAUAUUGCUAUUAAUCUUGAAAAAAAAUACAUAUUAUCAUAACAGUAAAAAGGACUGCAUUGGAGCAUGAUAAAAACCUUGACCGAGGCAAGUGGAAAAACCUAGAUGUCUCAACAUGGUGUAUUAUUGAGAAGAUCCAAGAGCCAAUGCAAAAAGAUGGGUAAUUAAUGCGAUGCAACCUAUAAAUGUCAUGAGACUUAUAUUAUGUUUGAUUUUUUUAAUUAUUAAUGUCUAGGAUAUCGUACGGUCUGUGGAUGGUAAACUUUAUGGAAUAUUGGAUGGGAUCUUUCCUCUUUGAUGAAGUAACUCAGGUAGUUCAUAAAUGAUGCAUAUUGAGUAGACACUUAUAUAUCAUCUAAACAUAAGUGGUCG
rnacentral:lncRNA from 1 species